CUUUUUAUUCAUUUUUUUUACUUUACCUUUUGUCUUUGGUUACUUGUAAUGUUUGACUUUUACUUUAAUUUGUUUAUAAUUUACAUCACAAUUGGAUUUAACAGGAACAAUUUAGUCUAUUAAUUUUAUUGUCAAGUUGAUUGUUGCUGUUGAAAUUUAAAUCUAAAUUAUGUUUUUACUUUGUUAUUGUGAACAAAUUGGUUCCAUGUAAGCCAUGCCAUUUUGUAGGGAUCUCAAGGCUUUACCCAUUGAGUUUAUGUUUAAGUGUACUAAUGCGAUUUGUCAAAUGUUUUGAAAGUGACUUGAAGUGUUCAUCUUCUACUUAAAAUGAAUAAUAAAUUCAUUUUGGCAUUUAUUUUGGAAAAGGAAAUAAUCAAAUCUUUUUCUUUUAUUCUAUCCAUCUCCGACAAGUUCAUUAGCUAACCUUCAGACGAUUGAAUUUCAAUGUUGCGACUCCAUCUUACACUUGCCAUUCAUCUACAACUCUGAAUUAGCAUGUGUUCAUGAGGGUUUUCAUUCUUAGAGGAAAAGUUCACCUAUUUGGUUGCAGUCUGUUACAACUGUACAAGAAAAGUUUCAACAAUUGUUUACUUUAACUGUAAAUAUAGCCUUUAGCUACACUCAAGCCUGUUAAUCAUUAAAAGCAGAAUCAUUGAAAUACUCAGGAAAUGCAGGGAAGAGGUAGAAAGAUAGAGGUUAAAUGUACAGUUGAUUGAAAAUUAAAUACAAAUAAAAGGAAUUGUUGCUCAUUAAUGUUA